ACAUGCCAGACUGGAAACGGAAGAGAAGGGGGGAUAUGUUUGGCUUGGGGACGCACUGUUUCAGUUGAGCUCCUGUUUGGUUUUGUGUCUCCGCGGUGUUUCCAAGAGUCUCGGCGUUUCUACCUCUUAGCACCCUUUCUUGCCACCCUUUGUCCUGUGGAAGCCCAGAGACAUCAGCGGUUGCAACUGUGCUACUCGCUGCUCGGCAUGGAAGGGUCAGGUACCGCAGUUCAGCGCUCUUGGCCCCGCAGGUCCUCGGGCAUCCCUGUGCCCCGUCCUGUACAUUGUUAUGCUCCGACUUCCUAGGGUCGAAGUUAUUGCCUGCUGGGUUUUAGAAGCUAUUGCUUUACGUCUGAGAAAAAAAUCCCAGAAAGUUUCAGUAACAAAAUAUCAGAUACGAAAAUUGCCAGAUGUGCUACAGCUAAGGAAAAUACAUUCAUGGGGAAGAGACAUAAUAGUUUUGACAUUACGGCAGUUACAGCACCUGAACAUGUUUGUUAAGAAUAACUGCUUCUCAGGUGGAGAAAUAAUUUCAUCUCUUCAAGAUGUCCUUAGGUUUUGA
rnacentral:lncRNA from 1 species